AUUGAACGCUGGCGGCAUGCCUUACACAUGCAAGUCGAACGGCAGCACGGGAGCAAUCCUGGUGGCGAGUGGCGAACGGGUGAGUAAUAUAUCGGAACGUGCCCAGUAGUGGGGGAUAACUGCUCGAAAGAGCAGCUAAUACCGCAUACGACCUGAGGGUGAAAGGGGGGGAUCGCAAGACCUCUCGCUAUUGGAGCGGCCGAUAUCAGAUUAGCUAGUUGGUGGGGUAAAGGCCUACCAAGGCAACGAUCUGUAGUUGGGCUGAGAGGACGACCAGACACACUGGGACUGAGACACGGCCCAGACUCCUACGGGAGGCAGCAGGGGGGAAUUUUGGACAAUGGGCGCAAGCCUGAUCCAGCAAUGCCGCGUGCAGGAAGAAGGCCUUCGGGUUGUAAACUGCUUUUGUCAGGGAAGAAAUCCUCUAGGUUAAUACCCUUGGGGGGAUGACGGUACCUGAAGAAUAAGCACCGGCUAACUACGUGCCAGCAGCCGCGGUAAUAC
rnacentral:rRNA from 1 species